rnacentral:lncRNA from 1 species
UGGGCAUAUUAAUAAAUUACUAAAAUUCAUAGAAGUUUUAUUUGCUAAUUAAAAGAGGCAAUUUUUAUACACUUGCAAGCUAUCAGAAAACAAAACCUAAUUUUUUUCAUGGGUUCUACUUAUUUCAUGGAAUCUAUACAAAAAUUUCCAUGAUUUUUGGAUCAAUAUACAAUUUUCUACACAAUUCUACAAAUCAAGCAUUUUUAGGCAAAAAGAAAAAAAGAAAAACACACUGUGCUACGCUGGUGGCCUGCUUGGACCCGGCCCAAAACGGCCCGUGAGCUUCCCGCGUCGCGCGCGGGCGCUGUCCUCCUCUCAUGGCCACUGACGGGCAGGUCCCGCCCGUCAGAUCCUCCUUCCACCUCCAGCGAGCUCAAGCUCAUCGCCGGUGAGCUCCCGGCAUCCGCGGUGGGGUGGGCUAGCACCUUCGGCCUCUCGCGCAACCCCUGGGACACACGGGACAAUCCCUACUCCCUCCUAACCCCCCUGCUCACGUC